rnacentral:rRNA from 1 species
GACGAACGCUGGCGGCGUGCUUAACACAUGCAAGUCGAACGGUGAUCCAGGAGCUUGCUCCUGGUGAUCAGUGGCGAACGGGUGAGUAACACGUGAGUAACCUGCCCCUGACUCUGGAAUAACCCCGGGAAACCGGAGCUAAUACCGGAUAUGACACCAAUCCGCAUGGGUAUGGUGUGGAAAGUUUUUCGGUCUGGGAUGGACUCGCGGCCUAUCAGCUUGUUGGUGAGGUAAUGGCUCACCAAGGCGACGACGGGUAGCCGGCCUGAGAGGGCGACCGGCCACACUGGGACUGAGACACGGCCCAGACUCCUACGGGAGGCAGCAGUGGGGAAUAUUGCACAAUGGGCGAAAGCCUGAUGCAGCGACGCCGCGUGAGGGAUGACGGCCUUCGGGUUGUAAACCUCUUUCAGCAGGGAAGAGGCGCAAGUGACGGUACCUGCAGAAGAAGCACCGGCUAACUACGUGCCAGCAGCCGCGGUAAUACGUAGGGUGCGAGCGUUGUCCGGAAUUAUUGGGCGUAAAGAGCUUGUAGGCGGCUUGUCGCGUCUGCUGUGAAAAUCCGAGGCUCAACCUCGGACUUGCAGUGGGUACGGGCAGGCUAGAGUGUGGUAGGGGAGACUGGAAUUCCUGGUGUARCGGUGAAAUGCACAGAUAUCAGGAGGAACACCGAUGGCGAAGGCAGGUCUCUGGGCCACUACUGACGCUGAGAAGCGAAAGCAUGGGGAGCGAACAGGAUUAGAUACCCUGGUAGUCCAUGCCGUAAACCGUUGGGAACUAGGUGUGGGUCUCAUUCCACGAGAUCCGUGCCGCAGCUAACGCAUUAAGUUCCCCGCCUGGGGAGUACGGCCGCAAGGCUAAAACUCAAAGGAAUUGACGGGGGCCCGCACAAGCGGCGGAGCAUGCGGAUUAAUUCGAUGCAACGCGAAGAACCUUACCAAGGCUUGACAUAUGCGAGAACGCUGCAGAGAUGCAGAACUCUUUGGACACUCGCAUACAGGUGGUGCAUGGUUGUCGUCAGCUCGUGUCGUGAGAUGUUGGGUUAAGUCCCGCAACGAGCGCAACCCUCGUUCUAUGUUGCCAGCACGUGAUGGUGGGGACUCAUAGGAGACUGCCGGG